rnacentral:snRNA from 1 species
AGAGCUUCUCGGACCUUUUGGCAAGAUAAAACAAGUGUAAGUAGCUGUUCUUAUUCAGUUUUAAUAUCUGAUACACGACGGAUCCCCUAUCUGGGACCAAUAGUAAAUUGAUUUUGGAACAGGGAGAAUGGAAUAGGGGCUUGCUCCUCCCUCCAACUCAUCGACCUGGUAUUGCAGUAACCCUCAGGAACGUUGCACCCCCU